rnacentral:lncRNA from 13 species
AUGGAUUGCAAUAGACACGCCGCAUUUUGGUCCGACUCUCCUUCUCAUCAAGAAAACCGUUACAGAAUCACCCACCACAAAGGGACCAAGCAGCGUGUCAACAGGCAGGAACAGCCCAAAGUGGAGUACAGUAUGGACUAUACUUCGUGGGAGGAGAUAGACAGGUGGGCGGUCGACCCAGGGAGAGUGCCGGAGCCCGCCUGGGAUUCGAUGGAGCAGUGCGCGGAAGGAUAUAGGAGAAUGGAGUUUGCGAAGCAAGCAAGGCGGCGCGGACGGAGGCCCCAUAGUCAGCCCCAAAAAAUUCUUGGGGGGGGGCUCAGGGAGAGUGUGGCAGAGUCAGGAGCCAGACCUGAGCCAACUCUCCCUGUUUAUCGUGAGGAGCCAAGGAGGAGACCAGAACCAGAGCCGGUGUUGGAGGUGAGAGAAGCAGAGACUGUGAAGGAGUUAAUGGGGAAAUUGGAGGAGAGAGAAAUGAGGGAGUUGCUGUGUUGGUGUUUUAAACAUGGAAUUCGCCCGACGGAGCGUGUCGGGGAUUUGAUGGCAACCGGGUCAGCGCUCCAUACUCGUCCUGAGGUGCGUUUUAGUCAGCUGGUGAAGAUGGUGCCAGUCUCACGUACCAGGCCUCCUGUGCACCUCCCUAGCCUUGCACGUCCUGUGCCAGCACCGCUCUCAAGAUCUCCAGUACGCCUUCACGGUCUAACCCAUCCUGUGCCACCUCCACACCCCAGCCCUCCGGUAGCAGCUCCCCGCACCAGGCUUCCUGUGCGUGUCCUCGGCCCAGUACCACCAGUGCCAGCACCACGCAUCAGGCCUACAGUGCGCCUCGCCUGUCCAGCGCUGUCGGAGCCCUCCUCCUCUCCAGCGCUGUCGGAGUCUCCCGCCUGUUUAGCGCUGUUAGAGCCUUCCUUCUCUACAGCGCUGCCGGAGUCUCCCGCCUGUUCAGAACUGCCAGUUUGCAAGGAGCUGCCAGUUAGCAUAGAGCUGCCAGUUAGCAUAGAGCUGCCAGUCUGCAAGGAGCUGCCAGUCUGCAAGGAGCUGCCAGUCUGCAAGGAGCUGCCAGUCUGCAUAGAGCUGCCAGUCUGCAAGGAGCUGCCAGUCUGCAAGGAGCCGCCAGAGCUGCCUGUCUGCAGGAUGCCGCCAAAGCUGCCAGUCUGCAAGGAGCCGCCAGAGCUGCCAGUCUGCAAGGAGCCGCCAGAGCUGCCAGUCUGCAAGGAGCCGCCAGGGCCGCCAGUCAGCAUGGAGCAGCCAGGGCCGCCAGUCAGCAUGGAGCAGCCAGGGCCGCCAGUCAGCAUNNNNNNNNNNGACCACUGCUUCGUGUUGUGCAGAUCAGACUUUAGUGGAAUAACAACUGCUAACUGUUUGUAUGUACACAUGUGCCGCCUUUUCUGA